AACGCACAUUGCACCUUCUGGUAUUCCGGAGGGUAUACCUGUUUGAGCGUCAUUUAUAUACUCAAAAACUUUAUUGUUUUUGGUUAUGGGCAUCUAUUCUUGAUUGAAUUUGCCUGAAAUACAACGGUAGAGUGGUCACUGGAAGACAGGUUUAACCAAUGCUAUUAAAUUUAUCGUUGGGCAGGUCUGUUCUUUAAGGUGACUAUGCUUCCUUAACGUCCUUGUGGACAACAUUUCUUAAAUUUUGACCUCAAAUCAGGCAGGAGUACCCGCUGAACUUAA
rnacentral:misc_RNA from 1 species